rnacentral:miRNA from 1 species
UGCGCUGGGUCCCAGCAGGUCA